GACGAACGCUGGCGGCGUGCCUAACACAUGCAAGUCGAGCGAUGAAGUUUCCUUCGGGAAACGGAUUAGCGGCGGACGGGUGAGUAACACGUGGGUAACCUGCCCUAUAGAGGGGGAUAGCCUUUCGAAAGGAAGAUUAAUACCCCAUAAAAUCUUAGUACCGCAUGGUACAUAGAUCAAAGGAGUAAUCCGCUAUAGGAUGGACCCGCGGCGCAUUAGCUAGUUGGUGAGGUAACGGCUCACCAAGGCGACGAUGCGUAGCCGACCUGAGAGGGUGAUCGGCCACAUUGGGACUGAGACACGGCCCAGACUCCUACGGGAGGCAGCAGUGGGGAAUAUUGCACAAUGGGGGAAACCCUGAUGCAGCAACGCCGCGUGAGUGAUGACGGUCUUCGGAUUGUAAAGCUCUGUCUUCAGGGACGAUAAUGACGGUACCUGAGGAGGAAGCCACGGCUAACUACGUGCCAGCCGCCGCCGUAAGAC
rnacentral:rRNA from 1 species